GCUGACAGUAGAAUAGGAAUAAGCAUCGGCUAACUCCGUGCCAGCAGCCGCGGUAAUACGGAGGAUGCAAGCGUAAUCCGGAUUUACUAGGUCUAAAGGGUGCGUAGGCGGGGUAUCAAGUCAGUGGUGAAAUCCUGCAGCUCAACUGUAGAACUGCCAUUGAAACUGAUAUUCUUGAGUAUAGUUGAGGUAGCCGGAAUGUGUUAAGUAGCGGUGAAAUGCAUAGAGAUAACACAGUACACCGAUUGCGAAGGCAGCUUACUAAACUAUUACUGACGCUGAGGUACGAAAGCGUGGGGAGCGAACAGGAUUAGAUACCCUGGUAGUCCACGCCGUAAACGUUGAUCACUAGUUGUUUGCGAUACAUUGUGAGCGACUGAACAAAAGCAUUAAGUGAUCCACCUGGGGAGUACGUUGGCAACGAUGAAACUCAAAGGAAUUGACGGGGGCCCGCACAAGCGGAGGAACAUGUGGUUUAAUUCGAUGAUACGCGAGGAACCUUACCUGGGCUUAAAUGUAAGACGACUAACAGGGAAACUUGUUAUCUUUCGAGCGUCCUACAAGGUGCUGCAUGGUUGUCGUCAGCUCGUGCCGUGAGGUGUCGGGUUAAGUCCCAUAACGAGCGCAACCCUUAUCGUUAGUUGCCAGCGGGUAAUGCCGGGGACUCUAGCGAAACUGCCAUCGUCACGAUGUGAGGAAGGUGGGGAUGACGUCAAAUCAGCACGGCCCUUAUGUCCAGGGCUACACACGUGUUACAAUGGUCGAAACAAAGGGCAGCUACUUGGUGACAAGAUGCUAAUCUCUAAAAUCGAUCUCAGUUCGGAUCGAAGUCUGCAAUUCGACUUCGUGAAGUUGGAUUCGCUAGUAAUCGCGCAUCAGCAAUGGCGCGGUGAAUACGUUCCCGGGCNUGUACACACCGCCCGUCAAGCCAUGAAGCUGGGG
rnacentral:rRNA from 1 species